rnacentral:lncRNA from 1 species
AAAUAAAGUUAUCUUACUGACGAAGUACUUUAUUUACAGAUGUAAGAUGCAAGAUAUAAAACCUAAUAUAAAAGGUCUUCAAAAUUACAUAAAAGAAAACUUGAUUUUAGAGAAACAUAUUUCUUCAAAAUACUUAAGUGUGGAAGAACACAACUUGUACUGGAACCCCUGGGCUAAGGUUAUUGAUUAAAUUGAUACAUGUAUGUAUAUGAGCAUUUGAAAUUAUUUGUACACUGUUAUACCAUACCAUAUGUAUGCUCAUAUAUUUCUUGCACUACUAUUACUAUAUGAAUGAAAAUGUUAUUACUAUACUUAAUCCAUAGAUUUCUAAGUGUUAGUUCAUAGAAUGCUUAUUAUGCUUAUUUAUUUCAUUUGCUUGCUUAUUGUGCCACAAGAUAAAUAUAUGUUGAU